ACUCCUACGGGAGGCAGCAGUAAGGAAUAUUGCGCAAUGGGCGAAAGCCUGACGCAGCGACGCCGCGUGGGGGAUGAAGGUCUUCGGAUUGUAAACCCCUUUCAGGAGGGAAGAUGGAGCGAGCAAUCGUUCGGACGGUACCUCCAGAAGCAGCCACGGCCAACUUCGUGCCAGCAGCCGCGGUAAUACGAAGGUGGCAAGCGUUGUUCGGAUUCACUGGGCGUACAGGGUGUGUAGGCGGUUUGGUAAGCCUUCUGUUAAAGCUUCGGGCCCAACCCGGAAAGCGCAGAGGGUAUCUNCCAGGCUAGAGGGUGGGAGAGGAGCACGGAAUUCCCG
rnacentral:rRNA from 1 species